rnacentral:rRNA from 1 species
UACGUAGGGGCCGAGCGUUGUCCGGAGUUACUGGGCGUAAAGCGUGCGCAGGCGGUUAUUUAAGUCAGGUGUGAAAGCCCUGGGCUUAACCUAGGAAUUGCGCUUGAGACUGGAUAGCUUGGAGUGCGGCAGAGGGAGGUGGAAUUCCACGUGUAGCAGUGAAAUGCGUAGAGAUGUGGAGGAACACCGAUGGCGAAGGCAGCCUCCUGGGCCAGCACUGACGCUCAUGCACGAAAGCGUGGGGAGCAAACAGG